rnacentral:lncRNA from 1 species
CCUGGCGUUAGGAGGACCAUCUCCUGCCAUAGGAAAUUGGAAAUUUCCUUAUCUUCUGAUCUUCCAGCUGAGGACAUGGGGCUCUGAGGGCUCCAGGCCUUGCCCGGUCACGCAGCCGAUGGGAAACUCCAUAUCUGACCAUCUCACUCCUUUGGAAUGCAUUCUUAAAUAUUGGAAAAUGUUUGAAAGAGAAGUUUAGUAUUUUCUACACCCAUACAUGCCUGCCUACCCCCUAGAGCCACUAUUGAUUAUGAUGG